CUUCCCCUCGCGCGGCUCUGAAGGCUGAACCUGGCUGCAGCCUCCGGCGGCCUGAGGGAUGCGGAUCUCCUGGUUCCGGCGCUGGGGCCCGAGGCGCCGCUGCCGCUCCUUCACCGGUGUAGCCCCGGACCAUGUGCCUCAGGCAACGCCACGCAAAAACCUGAUGACCAAAACCGUGAUGUGAGGGCAAGUGUGUAUUUGUAAAUCCUACGGGCUUGUUCCCACCUCAGCACAGGCCAAGCCAGAUAAGUAUCUUAGCCAUGUUUGCUUAUUGGCUUAUUUUCUUUUAGAGUUUCUCCCAGGAUAGGUCACUUUUUCCUGGUCUGGAAAGGGGAGUUACAGAGAAGUCUAAUUCAGACCACCCAUCCACACACACACACCCCCAACACUCCGAUCACAUGGGCCAAAGUUCAUCACGGAUAUUUUCUAGUAAAAUUUGAUUUCUGAUGUUGGUAGAGAUACUAGCUUUUAGCGGACCAUUCUGGCUUUCACUUUUCUCUUUGAUUUCUCCUUAGGUGUUUUUCUUACUUGGGGUGGGGUUGGACUUAACUAUACAUUUAAAAUAACGUUUAUUAUAUUUUUUCCAGGAUUUCUGGCUGUAUUAUAGUGAGAUAUUGUUCAGGCUAUUUAUCUUGCCAUAGUGUUAUUUGAAAUGUAAGCAUAUGGGCCAAUUCACGUUCUCUUUUCUUUCCGUACUCUAGUCAUACUUUACAUCUUUCAGUCACUCUUUACUUCUUUACUUUCCAACCCAUACUGUUUUGGUUAGGGUAGGAUUAAGCAUACUCCAGCUGUAAAAAUAAACUCCCGGAAUUUCGGUGCCUAAAAGAGAGUAGAUGCUUUUUGUUUACUCAUCUAACAACCCGAUGUGGGCGUUUCUUGCUGGCAGGUGACUUUCCUUCAUGUGGUAUUUCAGGUAUCCGGGCUCCUUCCAUCCCAGAGGUCAACCAGGGAAUAGAAAUGACACACACCACUUUCAUCAAACUUCUUGGAUGGGAGUUAGUCCUGUAACCACCUGUGGAGGCAGAAGAAGCAUAAGAAACACUCCCUUCCCAGUCAGGGCUUUAUCUAAUGAAGAUGGCACGUUACAGUUUCCUGGCUUUCCUUCAGAGCUGUUUGCUUUCAAGCUGCUAGAUUCCUCCAAACCAGGUUAUACUGAACAUGCAAGUGGGAUGACCCAAGUAAAUGUUUCGUGUGAUGCAGCUCCUCGAAAUCUACAAAUUCAGCAUGAGGCUCUUACAAAUAGUAAAGGAUGUUGGCUUAUGGUAGAGGCUCCUCCUGAGACUACAGAAGAGGGAGAAUGCUUCUUUGAGGCUUAUCUGUUGAUCACCUACCAUGUGCCAGACACAACUGGAUAG
rnacentral:lncRNA from 12 species